UACAGAGGGGGCAAGCGUUGUUCGGAAUUACUGGGCGUAAAGGGCGCGUAGGCGGCCUUCUAAGUCGAACGUGAAAUCCCCGGGCUCAACCCGGGAACUGCGUCCGAGACUGGAAGGCUUGAAUCCGGGAGAGGGAUGUGGAAUUCCAGGUGUAGCGGUGAAAUGCGUAGAUAUCUGGAGGAACACCGGUGGCGAAGGCGGCAUUCUGGACCAUAACUGACACUGAGAGACGAAAGCCAGGGGAGCAAACGGG
rnacentral:rRNA from 1 species